rnacentral:rRNA from 1 species
AUAUUGGUCAAUAGCCUAACGGCUGAACCAGCAACUUGGAGGAAUGUAUAGCAAUAGCUACUUGCAUCAUUGUAAUGAUGAUGCAAGAUCGACUAUGUCGAAUAAAAUUCUAGGUAGAAUUAUGAUAAUGACAUUGUCUGCCUAUGUGUCUUGACCAAAUUACGUGCCAGCAGUCGCGGUAAUACGUAGAAGACUAGUGUUAUUCAUGUUUAAUCGGUUUAAAGGGUACCUAGACAGCAAAUCAAGCUUUCAAAAAAAAGAAAAGGACUAAUUUGCUAGAGUUACUUAUGAGGGGGCUUGAAAGUACUAAUGGUGUAGAGAUGAAAUUCUGUCAUACCUUUUUUCAAAGGAAAACUGGACGGCACAGGUAUAGGCGAAGGCAUCCCCUUAUGUGAUAACUGACGUUGAGGGACGAAGGCUUAUACAGCGAACAGGAUUAGAUACCCCAGUAGUCUAAGCAGAAAAUGAUGAAUGUCAUAGAUUAGAUAUAUAAGUUUAUUCUAUAAAUGAAAGUGUAAGCAUUCCACCUCAUGAGUAAUUUGGCAACAUUGGAACUGAAAUCAUUAGACCGUUUCUGAAACCAG